rnacentral:lncRNA from 1 species
CUAACUAAUUUUUAAUUAGAUGGGACCUAAUUAGAUUCAUAAUUGAGCUAGGAUCCAAUUAGUUAGUUUGUUAUAACUAAUUUUUAAAUUACUUAGGAUUGGAUCAAAAAUUAGUUAGAAGUUGAAAAAAAUCUUGAGUCCUAUUUAGAAUAGGACUUGACCAACUUGAAAACCCCAUGUGAUAUUUGUUUCUCACGCCACACCUCUCUUCACCGUGAGAAAAUUUCCUACACCCCAUAUGAGGCACCCACUUUCUUUCUUCCAUGGAAUAUAGGCAUCCCUUUUCACUUUUUUUCUUAUCGCCCAAAU